rnacentral:rRNA from 1 species
CCCCUGGCUGGUGGGCACCUGAUGCAGCCAUGCCGCGUGAGUGAAGAAGGCCUUCGGGUUGUAAAGCUCUUUCCUCCGGGAAGAAAUCGUGCGGGCUAAUACCCGGUGUGGAUGACGGUACCGGAAUAACAAGCACCGGCAUAAUACGUGCCCGCCGCCGCGAUAAUAA